rnacentral:rRNA from 1 species
UUAGGUAGCGCCUCGUGAAUUCAUCUUCGGGGGUAGAGCACUGUUUCGGCUAGGGGGUCAUCCCGACUUACCAACCCGAUGCAAACUACGAAUACCGAAGAAUGUUAUCACGGGAGACACACGGCGGGUGCUAACGUCCGUCGUGAAGAGGGAAACAACCCAGACCGCCAGCUAAGGUCCCAAAGUCAUGGUUAAGUGGGAAACGAUGUGGGAAGGCACAGACAGCCAGGAUGUUGGCUUAGAAGCAGCCAUCAUUUAAAGAAAGCGUAAUAGCUCACUGGUCGAGUCGGCCUGCGCGGAAGAUGUAACGGGGCUAAACCAUGCACCGAAGCUGCGGCAGCGACACUAUGUGUUGUUGGGUAGGGGAGCGUUCUGUAAGCCUGCGAAGGUGUGCUGUGAGGCAUGCUGGAGGUAUCAGAAGUGCGAAUGCUGACAUAAGUAACGAUAAAGCGGGUGAAAAGCCCGCUCGCCGGAAGACCAAGGGUUCCUGUCCAACGUUAAUCGGGGCAGGGUGAGUCGACCCCUAAGGCGAGGCCGAAAGGCGUAGUCGAUGGGAAACAGGUUAAUAUUCCUGUACUUGGUGUUACUGCGAAGGGGGGACGGAGAAGGCUAUGUUAGCCGGGC